rnacentral:lncRNA from 1 species
AAAUACUUCCCUCACCGCCGCAAUCCAAACAAGCGAGACCAAACCCGUCGGUUUGACCUGCCCAUUUCCCCUCCAUAUAAAAUCCCCCUUAUGAUAUUUCCCCAUUUCAAACCCUAACCCUAGUUAGCCCCAGAAAUGGCGCACUCUCAUUGUUCAUCUUCUUCUUCGAUUGAGCCAAGCCUCAACUCGCAUGGAACUUAGACGAGUUCACUCAAAUGGUCCCCUCCCCUCCACGUCAUUUGAUUCCCAACAGUUUUUGUCAGAAAGAAUAUGAAUAUUCCCUCAAAAUCAAAUAAUUCUUGGUACGAAAGGACUAUUUGCUGGAUGAAUAGGAGCCGUGGAUAGAUAUAAAUCAAUCCACGCCUUCCAUUUUUCCAAAAAUUUGUUUAAAAACAUCUGAAGAUUUUCGAAUUUUUGGCAAAAACUUAAAGAUUUGUGAAAGCUAUAUAUUUGAGGUAAGUUUUGUUUGCUAAGGGGGAAAAGAAUAAUCAGAGGUAAAAUCUAGGAAAAAUUUUAGGGUUCUAAGAGUUGUCACUUUCUUCAAGCCAUUUCCUUUUAGUCUACUUCUUUUUCUCGUCAGAAAAACAUGCAGAAAGCACAAUUGUUUCAGUUCAUUUUUUAUUCGAGUUUUACUUUAUUUCUUCAAAAGAAAAAUCAAAAGAAACAUAACUGAACAGACGUUUUUUAGCACUUGUUCUUCUUCUUGAGUUCUAGUUCUCAGAGGAAUUUGAUUUAAAAGUUCAAGUUGGACCUGAGUUUUGGUAUUUGAAAUUUUAGUGUUGAUUUGGUUUAGAGUGGUUGAUUCAUAUUUUCUUAUUGAUGUUCGUUUGAUCUUUCCCUCUUAUGAAAGCCGGUAUCUCACUUUCGAAAGGAAGUCUCGACGUGGCGGUGUAGACCUAGCUCCAUAGCUGGGCUAGUCACUGGCUAGAGGGCGACNNNN